rnacentral:lncRNA from 1 species
UGAUUGUAUGUAUCUGUAAGGUUAUCAUUAAAAGUCUGAACAGUGGCUGUUUGUAGCCAUUAUCCAUGUAGCUAAUGAUAAUAAAGAAGAAGAAAAGCAUCAAAUGGGUUGAUCAAGCGAAUAAAAUGCGGUUUUGAUUAUAUCAUUUAUUUAAUUUGAUUUGUUCUGGUGUCUGCUGUUGUACCGGACUGAACCACUGGGUGUCACUAUAGUCUAAUAAACUGAUCCACCACCGCUUGUAAUGAAGAUCCAUCCGGAAGAGUUUUAAACUUGUUUACCAACACAACAGAAGCUGGAUGGAGAGUGUCUCUGAGCUUCAUCACAUCCACCCUCUUUCCCCUCCCUCCCUAGAGGAAUUGCAUCUUUUGUCCGGAGACGCAGGGAACGGGGUGUUGACCAGAGGCAGUGUGACCCCCGCGUCCGUCAGGCCCCAAAAACUGCCCCCAUUGAGCAGAAGAGGCCUGUGUUUGGGAUGGGAUGGGGGUUGGGAAGGUUACAAGCCAGCGAUCAAGCACAAGACCUGCCCCGCAGCUCACUCCAACUCAACACACUUUCAGGAACAAAGAGGGAAAAACAUGCACAUUUUCUGCUCCCUCAAAAGACACUCCAGCUCCGCUCUUCAAGUUAACAUGAACACAUUCUGCCUGAACAAUGCAGCAGAUGCACAUCAUGGAGAUCAGGGGUUCAGUCUCUCUUACAGUGGCAUCUGCUAAAGUUGCAAUUAGCUGAAAACUGAAAAUAAAUAUUGUUGCAAACACUUUCUUUCUCAAUGCAAUUCAGUAACUGCUUUAUUGGUAUGACAAAUGUUAUAAAUGUAUUGCCAAGUAAAGG